rnacentral:lncRNA from 1 species
AUGGCUGCAGUCGCAGAGCUCUCCUUCCUGCUGUUUGCUCUCAUCAACAACAUUCAUGCAAUGGAACGUAUCGUCGUCAAAAAGGAAUCAGACUUUUACAUUUCCAGCUUCCCCAAGGAGGCCGACUCCUGCCUGGUCUCCAGAUUUGUUGGUGAGGAGAAGCUCGUCCUGUGGAAUACCUCUGCCCUCUGGUCCCAGAACUCAGUACCUGAAGACUUGAAACGACGACUGAUGUUUGUCAGGAUAAACAAUACUUCUUCUUACAUGAUCCGGAACCUGACCCACUCUGACUCCGGCAAGUACCAAGAGAAGUGUUGGGGCAACGUGGCGUAUGAGAACAACAUCACUAUUAUUGUCUGUAGUACAAAAAAUAAAUACAAUUAUUUUGAUGUCAGAGUUGGAGAAACAGUGGACCUGCCAUGUGAGGGAGCAGCUGACAAUCUGGACAUCCAGUGGCUCAAGAGUGAUUCUGAAUAUGAGGACGAGAUUUGGACAAGAGUUUUUGGAGACAGUGUAACAUCGGUGAUGGACAAUGUUGAAGGAAGAUCCCAAGUGGUGAAAACCUCAUCAGGACUUCGUAUUUACAACCUCAAGUUAACACGGUUCAAAUAUUACACCUGUCUAGUGAUGAACCAACAGCAGUGUGUCAGCAGUCACCCUGUAGAGUUAGACCUGCCAUUGGAGAGGAUCCUCUACACAGUGGGAGAGACAGCUGUGUUACAGUGCCCUGCUGUUGAGUUCACUGACGACCAGCUUCCACUUUGGAAAAAGGAUCAUGAGAACGACUACGACGAGGUGGGAAAAAACUACUCACUGGUGUUUUCAUCACUUCAGUUAAACCACACAGGUUUAUACUCUUGUGAAAUCUACAACCAUGUUCAAAUGUAUCACCUGGUGGUGUGCCCCAAAUCUGACCCACCUGCUGUCGAGCUCUUCUCAGAAGGAGACAAUGUCACUUUCAGAUGCAGAGGUUGGGAAGAGGGUAGCUGGCACCGCUGGUUCAUCAAGUCAAACCAGACAGAAGGCAGACGCUUGAAUGUAUACAAAUUUGAUCUGAAGAGCAGACUGAACGGAUUUUACGAUGAUGGCUUGUUGAUUCUCUCUAAUGUCUCACUGGAAGACACAGGAGAGUUAUGGUGUGCCGUGAUGGACUCAGAUGACCAGUGUGUGUCAUCCUCCAGAACUGUUCUGAAGUCCAGAGAGCCCUCUGGGAUGGACUUCACCCUCUACACGGUGAGGUCCUCACUGCUCCCUGGUCUGCUGGUGAUCCUCUGUGUUGUUGUGGUCGCUGUGAACCAGAGGACCAGGAGAGGAGAGCAGCGUCCAGCUCAGACAGACAGUUAA